AGCAGGGUGGCACAGUGGAAGCGUGCUGGGCCCAUAACCCAGAGGUCAAUGGAUCAAAACAAUUUCCUGAUG